rnacentral:rRNA from 2 species
UACGAAGGGGGCUAGCGUUGUUCGGAAUUACUGGGCGUAAAGCGCACGUAGGCGGGCGAUUAAGUCAGGGGUGAAAUCCCGGAGCUCAACUCCGGAACUGCCUUUGAUACUGGUCGUCUAGAGAUCGGAAGAGGUGAGUGGAAUUCCCAGUGUAGAGGUGAAAUUCGUAGAUAUUGGGAAGAACACCAGUGGCGAAGGCGGCUCACUGGUCCGAUACUGACGCUGAGGUGCGAAAGCGUGGGGAGCAAACAGG